UACGGGGGAGCAAGCGUUGUUCGGAUUUACUGGGCGUAAAGGGCGCGUAGGCGGCAGAUUAAGUCAGCUGUGAAAUCUCCGAGCUUAACUCGGAACUGUCAGCUGAUACUGUUUUGCUAGAGUGCGGAAGGGCAAUCGGAAUUCUUGGUGUAGCGGUGAAAUGCGUAGAUAUCAAGAGGAACACCUGAGGUGAAGACGGGUUGCUGGGCCGAACACUGACGCUGAGGAGCGAAAGCAUGGGGAGCGAACAGG
rnacentral:rRNA from 1 species